CCUACGAAGUUUGUAAUUACAAAUUCUUCCCUUCUAAGUUGUAGAAUAUAUCAACCGUAUCGUGACCGUGAAUGAGAAACCGUUAAGUGUGUUAGAAAUUUGUAUUAAACACCCAAAUAUCCUUGGUCCAAUGGAGAUUACGAUUUUGCCCUCAACCAUUAUUAUCGUCUUCUUCCUUGAGAAACCAUGGGAGAGUUAGGGUUUUUGAACUUGCACUACAUGGUUUAAAAUCUGAAAUCGGAGAGAGCAUUGAUAGUUUUGGUGAUCGAUUCUUGUUCAUCUUGUUGAAGUCUUGAAGAUCGACCUUGAAGAUCGACCCUUAUUCUCAUCUUCUUCCUUGAGAAAUUGGAGAGAACGUUGAUGGUUUUGGCGAUCGAUUGGGAGAAUAUAAUCUGUAAAAUUUGUAUGAAAGGUUCUUUUGGGGGAGCAUUUUCUUCCCCAAGGAGUUUGCUUUAGCUUUGGUGCAUUCUGUUUCCCCUUGUCUCUAUACUAUUUUCUCUCUUCAGGUAUCGGGAGGAACCCUAGCAACGAAGGAAGUUCGAUUGGCCGAUUCUUCCAUCUUGCACUGUUGCCAGAUUUGAUAAGUAAGCCUCUCCUUAACUCUCUCAGAAUCUCUCUAUCCUUCUCUUGUUUGGGUCUCUUGACUAGCGGGUUCUGGAGACUGCUCCGUCUCCUCAUCUCUCUUCGAUGUGGGUUUUACUUAGCUAGAGAUUCUGCAGAAGAAUUAGGCAAAUGUACGAUCAUCUUUUUAGUGUAGAGUUGCUGAAGUUGGAUUUAUUAUCUUAAAUGAAUUCCAGAUGGACUAGGUUGAUUCAAGACUGGAGCAAAAUGAUGACAGUAGGGAUCAAAAUGGGUCUGCUAGGGGAGAUUAUAGAGAUGAAGAACUUCUUGAUGGUUUUGAAGGAGAUGUUAGUGAGAAAUCAAGGGAAUCAAGCAAGCACUAGAGCAAAGACAGAAAGAAUAGUCGAAAAGGAGAGAAGGAUCACCACAGGUUAGAUGGAGUAAUAUUUAAACAAAGGGGAAGGGGGUGAAAAAGACAUUUAACAUAUGAUUCUAACAGUGUUAACACCACAGGGUACGUUUGUAAUUACAAACUUCGUAAGAGGUCUGAGUGUAAUAACUAAAACAAACAGGGGAGGAGAGUGUAAUUUCCUCUUUUAUAAAUUAUUGAAAAUAAACUUAUGGGCUUAAACUCAUCAACAUACAUCGUACAUAAAAAAAAAAAAAAAAAAAAAAUCAAUAAACACAAUCUUUUUUAGGCUCAAUUGUUAUUAAUGUAUGAUUAACACCAAAUGGUAGUGAAAUACUCAGACAAAAUUAUAAAUAAAUCUUAUGAUAUCUAACUUGACCAUAUCUCAAUAGUUCUGGUGGACAAUAGUAGGUAUUUGAUGCAAGCAUCAAAUUAGGCUCUUGAAACCAAUGAAGUAAAGUUAACAUGCCCAAACAUGAGUACAAGAAGUGCAGAAUUUUCAGUUUCGAGUGAUCACAGUAAAAUAACGAUAUCUUCCUCAAUAUAGGUUGAAAUGACUUGAUUCCAAAAUUUUUUGAACAAGGACGGACUUAGAACUUUG